UAUUUGUUAAAAAGUCAUUUGAAGUCCCCAAAGAGUCUCGACCUACAGGUUGAGAACCAUGUGCCAUCAUCCCUGGGGAAGGACGAACUGGCUCAGUGUCACCCAGUUUUGGCAGCACUGACAUCCAUUGGUAUGAUUCCUCCAGUGUCAGCCUCCUCAAUUCCAGGGACAAAUGACUCUAUGGGAUCUCGGCCACCAGAUGCUAUGGGCAAGCCAUCUCUGAAAACAUCAUUUCCAGGCAUAGCACCCCAGUCCACACCUAUUCCAGGAAGGCUUUAUUCUUGUCGUGAGACCAGCUCUCUUAGCUGACCUGCUUAGCACACUAGUUACAAUGGAGAAGUUGUCCAGGAUGGAAUUUGUUCACAUAGGGUGAAAUCCAUCUGCAGGUCCCCCAGGGUGGUACAGAGCUCAGCGAAGACACAGGAACACCAACUCUUUCUAGCUCUCUACUCCAGCUUUCUUUAGAGUGCAGGUGACUCGUGGUCUUCUGGUUUGUAGCAGUCACUCGAGGGCUGCUGAAGCUCCAAGUGUCACAUUCAUCUUUCAGACAGGGGGAAGAGAAAGAAAAGAAGCAAGAAAGGGUAACCUUGUAUCAUCAGUGCUCGGCUUAUUAAUCUUUCCAAACACUGCACGUCUUGGUUAGUUUUAUCUGAAAGGCAUCCUAAAAGACUGCUGCUUCAUUUAGCCAAUCACACGGGCCCUUUGAACUAACUGGGAAGAGGGCCUUGUAUGUUAUUAGACGCGUUCUCACGACCGGCCAGGAAGAACACCACAGACC
rnacentral:lncRNA from 1 species